GGGAUGGCCCUGCGCAGCAGAGGAUGUGAACCCCACCAGGUCCGGAAGGAAGCAAUGGUAAGCAUUUACUCUGGGUGCCGCAGCAAGUUGUCCCCUG
rnacentral:SRP_RNA from 1 species